GGACUACUAGGGUAUCUAAUCCUGUUCGCUCCCCACGCUUUCGCUCCUCAGCGUCAGUAUCGGCCCAGAGACCCGCCUUCGCCACCGGUGUUCCUCCUGAUAUCUGCGCAUUUCACCGCUACACCAGGAAUUCCAGUCUCCCCUACCGAACUCAAGCCUGCCCGUAUCAGCUGCAAGCCCACAGUUGAGCUGCGGGUUUUCACAGCUGACGCAACAAGCCGCCUACGAGCUCUUUACGCCCAAUAAAUCCGGACAACGCUCGCGCCCUACGUCUUACCGCGGCUGCUGGCAC
rnacentral:rRNA from 1 species